CAUUACCGAGUUUACAACUCCCAAACCCCUGUGAACAUACCACUUGUUGCCUCGGCGGAUCAGCCCGCUCCCGGUAAAACGGGACGGCCCGCCAGAGGACCCCUAAACUCUGUUUCUAUAUGUAACUUCUGAGUAAAACCAUAAAUAAAUCAAAACUUUCAACAACGGAUCUCUUGGUUCUGGCAUCGAUGAAGAACGCAGCAAAAUGCGAUAAGUAAUGUGAAUUGCAGAAUUCAGUGAAUCAUCGAAUCUUUGAACGCACAUUGCGCCCGCCAGUAUUCUGGCGGGCAUGCCUGUUCGAGCGUCAUUUCAACCCUCAAGCACAGCUUGGUGUUGGGACUCGCGUUAAUUCGCGUUCCUCAAAUUGAUUGGCGGUCACGUCGAGCUUCCAUAGCGUAGUAGUAAAACCCUCGUUACUGGUAAUCGUCGCGGCCACGCCGUUAAACCCCAACUUCUGAAUGUUGACCUCGGAUCAGGUAGGAAUACCCGCUGAACUUAAGCAUAUCAAUAAGCGGAGGAAAAGAAACCAACAGGGAUUGCCCUAGUAACGGCGAGUGAAGCGGCAACAGCUCAAAUUUGAAAUCUGGCUCUCGGGCCCGAGUUGUAAUUUGUAGAGGAUACUUUUGAUGCGGUGCCUUCCGAGUUCCCUGGAACGGGACGCCAUAGAGGGUGAGAGCCCCGUCUGGUUGGAUGCCAAAUCUCUGUAAAGUUCCUUCAACGAGUCGAGUAGUUUGGGAAUGCUGCUCUAAAUGGGAGGUAUAUGUCUUCUAAAGCUAAAUACCGGCCAGAGACCGAUAGCGCACAAGUAGAGUGAUCGAAAGAUGAAAAGCACUUUGAAAAGAGAGUUAAAAAGUACGUGAAAUUGUUGAAAGGGAAGCGUUUAUGACCAGACUUGGGCUUGGUUAAUCAUCUGGGGUUCUCCCCAGUGCACUUUUCCAGUCCAGGCCAGCAUCAGUUUUCCCCGGGGGAUAAAGGCGGCGGGAAUGUGGCUCUCUUCGGGGAGUGUUAUAGCCCACCGUGUAAUACCCUGGGGGGGACUGAGG
rnacentral:rRNA from 1 species